CUACGGGGCGCUCCAGUGGGGAAUAUUGCACAAUGGGCGAAAGCCUGAUGCAGCAACGCCGCGUGAGGGACGACGGCCUUCGGGUUGUAAACCUCUUUUAGCAGGGAAGAAGCGAAAGUGACGGUACCUGCAGAAAAAGCACCGGCUAACUACGUGCCAGCAGCCGCGGUAAUACGUAGGGUGCAAGCGGUGUCCGGAAUUAUUGGGCGUAAAGAGCUCGUAGGCGGUUUGUCGCGUCUGCUGUGAAAAUCCGAGGCUCAACCUCGGACCUGCAGUGGGUACGGGCAAACUAGAGUGCGGUAGGGGAGAUUGGAAUUCCUGGUGUAGCGGUGGAAUGCGCAGAUAUCAGGAGGAACACCAAUGGCGAAGGCAGAUCUCUGGGCCGUAACUGACGCUGAGGAGCGAAAGCGCGGGGAGCGAACAGGAUUAGAUACCCUCGUAGUC
rnacentral:rRNA from 1 species